UGAAAAUGCAGAUAGAGAUAAAACAAAGCAAUUUAUUUUGAUAGCUAUAAGUGCAUGCAUUAUCAUCGUUAUACCCGAUUUCUGUUUUUUAGCUAGUGUCUGCUUAUCAAGUUAUCCAGUGGGAGAAGCAGCAGCUACAGGACAUUGAGUCAAACUCAGGAUAAAGCAUUGCGCAGAAUUGGAGAACUGAAAGAGGAGCUCCAGAUGACUCAACAAGCAAGGAAACAUCUCCAAGAGGAAUUUGAUGCUUCCUUAGCAGAAAAGGAUCAACUUAUUAGUGUCUUGCAAACUCAGGUAUCAUUGCUGAAACGGGCGUUAAGGAAUGGCC